rnacentral:lncRNA from 1 species
CCUGUUUGGGUUCAACUUGUUUGGGGCCCUCUGUGCUUCCUGUAACUCUAUAUCAGUAUGCUUUAGAUUUGGAACAUUUUCUGCCACAAUUUCUUCAAAUAUAUUUUCAAUCCCCUUUUCUUUUUCUUUUCCUUCCAGAAUUCCUAUUAUGCAUAGUUUGGCCUGCUUUAUAUUAUCCCAUAUUUUUCAUAUUUUUUCAUUUGGUUUUCUGUCCGCUGUCCUGUUUGGGUAAUUUCCGUUAUUCUAUCUUCCACAUCACUAAUUUGUUCCUCUCCAUUAUUCAUUCUGGCCUUUAUUGCCUUAAGCUCAGGUUGUAUCUCUGCAAAUGAGUUUUCUAGUUUUUAUUGGCUCCUCCUUAUAUUUUCUAGUUCUUUUCUGAGGGAAUCUGCAUUACUGUUCAUAUCUUCUGUUAAUACCUUUAGUAUUUUCACUGUCUCCCUUUUGAACUCAAAGUCUGUCAGACUGCAGAGUUUUGUUUCAUUGUUGACUGCUUUAGGUGAGUUCUCCUGUUGUUUUAACUGGGAAAGGUUUCUGAGUUUUUUCAUCUUGCUUGUGUUUUUCUGUGAAAUAUACCCCUUUGUAUUUUUGGAGGGGUUACUAUUUAUUUUUGGUGUGGGAGUUUGAAUCUUUGCUAUCUCUUUCUUCUGUGCAAGCAGUCUGUUAUCCCCAGGAUGCUCAGUGUGUUUUUGGGAAGAAGGGAGCAAUGGGUAGGGCCAGCAUUCACUGCCUGAGUCAUUGGGCUCUCAACAGAAUCAAAGACUUGCAGAAAGGUGGCACAGGUUACUCCUAUUUGCAGGGCCCUGGAAAGUGAUAAUAAGCUCUAGGAGGAUCUGCAAAGUGACCAGAGAAUUUGGCUGUAGCUGCAGCAGGGUGCAUGUGUUCCCAGGGGGUUGAGAGCAACAACAGCUUAUGUUUGAUUGCAAUGCCCUCCUCUGAGGUAAUUGGAACUGCAGGUGGUGCCUGUUCAGGAACCCCUAGUGGGAGUGGGCCAUGACCAUCUCUAGUUUCAGUGAUUACUGCGGUCGUGUGUCUCCAUCACCUGUAGACCAUGCAUGAGGUGAUCCAUAUUACUUAGCCCACAUAGGAAGUGCUGUACAGGCUGUUCCUAGCUGCAGGAUCCUGGGAAGUGACAGAGAUCUCUCAUAUGGGUACUGCCAUGAACAUUCAGCCGUGGCAGCAGCAGGGUUCGUGUGUUCCCAAGGGUGCAAGAGCACCAAUAUUUGAUUCAGUCACAAUGCCUGCCUCUGUGAUGCCCUUGAGGUGAAUGGGGCUGCAAGUGGUGCCUGUUCACUGACUCCUAGUUGGGCCACUGCCACCUCUGGAGCCAGAGAUAACUGCAGCAGUUUUCCCCCACCACCUGUAAAUCAUGCACGAAGCACCUGGUCCUGCUUAGCCCCCACAGGAUGUGCUGAACUAGGUGCUCUUAGUUGCAGGUUCCUAGGAAGGGACAGUGAUCAAGUGUCUGGGCCCCUCCCAGAAUGUUUGGCAGUGGCAGCUACAGUGUGGGUGUGCUCCCUGGGGAGCGAGAGCAACAUCAGGUGCUUUUCCAUUGUAGAGUCCUUCUCUGCGAUGCCCCCUGAAGUGGUUGGGGCUGCAAGUGAUUUUUGUUCAGUUAUUCCCAGUUGUGGUAGGCCAUGCCCACUUCUAGAGUCAGGGAUAAUUGUUGUGGUUUGCUCCUGCCACCUGCAGGUCCAGUCCAUGGUGGUCUAGCAAGCAGUUUCCCACUUCUGGAGACACCAGGCCUGCAGUGGGCUAGCAAGCGACUUCUGGUCGUGAGGGGCUGCACCUGAGAUGCGUAGUCUAGGACCUGCAGGGAUGGGGUGGCCCAGAGUGCUAAGGAGCAGUGGCUUGGCCUCCCGCAGUGGUGGGGGAGGAGGUGGAGGCAGCCCGGAGUGUUACCAACAGCCUGCAGCUUCCCAUGGGGGUGGGGGUGGCCGGAGUGAGGCUUCUGGUCACACCCUUGGGGCAUGCUGUGCUGGGGGAUGCUCUGUCCUCUGUGAGCCAUUGGGGCAAGUGUGUGCUGGGGUGCAAGGAGUUUUCUAUGGCUGCGGCUAGUCCCUUCUCCUCUCCCCUCCCCAACAAUGGCACCUUAUCUCUCCUGUGGCUCCGGACCUUCUCCUGGGUUCCCUCUGCCAUGGCUUUCCACUUCCCAGCCCUUAUGUACCACUUCUCCCACCUAAGGCAGCACUGCUCCCUAGUGCCUUAGGCUGUCUCCACACCACCAAUUCCAGCCCGCUCCCAGGGACUGACCUCCAGAGUCUUAAGUCUCACUGCCAACCCCCACCUGAGCUUCUCAGGCUGUGGUGUCUGCACCAGUGGUUCAGAUGAUCUGUGCUUCUCUCACUCUGCUUUUCAGUUCUCAGUCCAGCUGCUGCGCUUUCCUUGGCGUCUUGGAUAUCUCUCCCACUCUGCUGAUCUUUCCCUUUAUGUGGCUUCUCAGGGUAUGGGUUCCCUUUCUCCUUCACAGCUACCUCUCAGGAAUGCUUGUCCUGUUCUGAUUCCUUUUCUCUCUCCCUUUUUUUCUUUUGUUCUACCCAGUUAUGUCAAGAGUUUCUUGCCCUUUUUGGAGGUUUAAGUUCUUCUGCCAGCAUGCAGUUGACGUCUUGUGUGAGUCGUUUUACAUGUAGAUGUGGUUUUUUCGAGGUGUUUGUGAGAGAGGGUGAGCAUGUCCUCUUACUCUUGCACCAUCUUGUCUGAAUAGUAUUUUGUUUUGUUUUGUUUUGCUUUUUAUGGCCACAUCCAUGGCUGGGGUUGAAUCAGAGCUGUAGCCGCCAGCCUACGCCACACCCCCCAUAGCAACACCAAAUCCUAAGCUGUGUCUGCAACCAACAUCACAGCUCUUGGCAGUGCUGGAUCCUUAACCCACUGAGCAGGGCCAGGGAUCAAACCUGCAUCCUCAUGGAUACUAGUCAGGUUCAUUUCCACUGAGCCACAGUAGGAAAUCUAUGGUUUCCAGAGUUUUUAUUAAGGUGUUUUAAUUAAUGUACUACUUUUUUUUUUUCCCCCUUAUGGAGGAAUAUGACUUGGAACUUCCUAGGCCACAAUAUUCUUGAUGACUUUAUUUUAGUUUUGACUCAAAUGCUUUUAGAAUAUAAUAGAGUAUUGCCAUGUCAAAGGAAAAGACUAAUUUGCUACAUGACUUUUAUGUGUAUCAUGUGGUACCAGUAAGUACCCUGUUAAAUUAAUCUUUAAAAGAAGUUUCAGUAGUUCACUAGUGGUGAAAUAGGUUAAGAAUCUGGCAUUGGCACUGCAGUGGCUCAGGUCACUGCUGAGGCAAGUGUUCGAUCCCUGGCCCAGGAACUUCCACAUGCCACAAGCGUUGCAAUAGAAAAGUUUCAGUAGAUCUGCCAGUUUUUGCUCAUUAAAAAUAAUGCUAUCAGGAGUUCCCGUCGUGGCGCAGUGGUUAACGAAUCCGACUAGGAACCAUGAGGUUGUGGGUUUGGUCCCUGCCCUUGCUCAGUGGGUUAAGGAUCCGGCGUUGCUGUGAACUGUGGUGUAGGUUGCAGACGCGGCUCGUAUCCCGCGUUGCUGUGGCUCUGGCAUAGGCCGAUGGCUACAGCUCCGAUUGGACCCCUAGCCUGGGAACCUCCAUAUGCUGUGGGAGCGGCCCAAAGAAAUAGC